UUCAUACUACUCCGUUCAAAAAUACUUGUCAUCAAAAUGAAUAAAAAAUAAUGUAUCUAGAACUAAUAUGUGUCUAGAUACAUCUCAUUUUAUUCAUUUUGAUGAUAAGUAUUUCCGGACGGAGGAGGAAGCA
rfam:Triticum aestivum genome assembly, contig: Triticum_aestivum_CS42_TGACv1_scaffold_576752_7BL